rnacentral:lncRNA from 1 species
CAUUAAAACUACAGAAAUAAUAUUUAUAUAUGUUAUAUUGAAAAACAUUAUUUUUUAUUUAUUAACCUAUGCCCUUCUAAAUAAGAUGUGUAUUUCGGAUAUUUAGGGAAUUUUUAAAAAAAAUUGGAGAGGAGGGAAGCGAGUUUCAUUUAACUUUUUCAAAAUCCAAUUAAUUUUCCUUUUUUUUAAUUUUUUUCUCCUGUAAAGUAUUUAAUGAGAAAAAAAUAUGCACACAGAUUAGUUUCAAUUUCAAUUUCAAGCCAUUCCCCUAUAUCUUUAUCUACCGAGAUUGAUCAGUGUUAACAGUUAACCAUAAAGUGUUGGGUUGACCAAACUUAUCUUACAUGUACAAUGAGUACAGAGAAAACAUAUGGGCAGGUGGGUGCAUGUAUUUUCGCUGGUGAUUUUGUCACGCCAAUAUGCUAUAUUUUCCCUGAAACAACAGAGCACACAUUUAUGAGAUUGUGCCACGUGAUAAAAUGAAUAAGAUAUUUCGGUGGAUGAAGAAUUGCUAGUAGCCACUAGGAAAUACAUAUUCUGGUAAAUAGAUUGCCAGCAUUGAUAUUUGCUUAAUGCUAUGUUCUUUACUGGUGGUGCUGAUAAAAAAAAAAAUGUUCUUUACUGGUGGAGGUGGAGGCAAUGCAAUUAAACGUUUUCCUUGUUAAUUGUUAUCCUCCACACAGAAAAAGAUGGACAUGCAAUUUAGUGAAGCAGAAUGUCUCAAGAUUGAUGCAACAAACAGGAAAGUUUACUGUCGAUCUAAUAUAAGUAAUAAUUUGAACGAGAAAGAAGAGUUUGUGGUGGACUAUGACUACCUAAUCAUAGCCGUGGGAGCAAAUGUCAACACAUUUAAUACUCCUGGAGUGAUGGAGAAUUGUCAUUUCUUGAAGGUAUCUUCUUUCAUCAUACUAUCAUCAUGUAUUUAAGGUGUACCUUUUUUUAUUUUUUAUUUCAAAAAGCAGUGUUCUUCGCCCUGUUAAGAAAUAGUCAGGCCAGGAGAAGAAGGGGCCAAUGAUAUCUUAAUUCUUAGGUGUGAUUGGAUAUUGUUUAUACACGUAUUUGUGGUUUUUAGUUAUCUCAUAGACAUGUGUGCGUACUGUGCAGGAAGUUGAAGAUGCACAGAAGAUUAGAAGAACCGUUAUUGACUGCUUUGAGAGAGCAAGUUUGCCUAGUGUAAGUGAAGAAGAAAAGAAGAGAAUUCUUCAUUUUGCUAUUGUUGGAGGUGGUCCAACUGGAGUGGAGUUUGCAGCCUCACUACAUGACUAUGUCACUGAGGAUUUGGUCAACAUAUAUCCUGGGAUAAAAGAUCUAGUUAAAAUUACACUUCUGGAGGCUGGAGAUCAUAUUUUGAGCAUGUGAGCAUGAAACUCUCAUUACACCUUUCUCCUUAUUAGCAAGUUGUUUAAUGAUGCUUUGCUGUCCCUUAUGUGUGUUUACGAGUAGCCAUUUCCACAUUUGAAAGUAUUUGAUUCAGUCAUGGAUUUUAUACGUGUGGUUGGGUGGUUUAAAAUAGAGCAUACUAUGAGCUUAUAAGUUUUCAUUCUUAUGCUCACUUUUCAGGUUUGACAAAAGAAUCACUGCUUUUGCUGAAGAGAAGUUCGGAAGAGAUGGUAUUGAUGUGAAAACCGGAUCCAUGGUUGUGAAGGUUUCUCAGAAAGAAAUUUCUACUAAAGAAAUGAAAAAUGGAGGAGCAAUUACUACAAUUCCAUAUGGAAUGGCUGUCUGGUCAACUGGUAUUGGCACUCGUCCAUUUAUAAGAGAUUUUAUGUCACAAAUUGGUCAGGUAUGUCUUUGGGAAAUUUACCAUUAUAGUUGUCCCGAUUCAAUAUUCCAAAUCAUGUUUCUGGUAUAGUUUGUAUUUAUUUUUGGCUUAAAUAUAAUUUUCAUAUUUAAUAUAUAUCCAAAUUUUAUAUUCCAUCUCUAAUAAAUUUUUCCUUUACAUAAUAUACUCUUUGUCUACCAAAUAUUUGAUAAUAAGAGUAUUUAUUUUAAAAUUAAAUUCAAAGUAAAAAAUAAAUACUGUUCUCUCAAAUCUGAAUGGCUACCUCCAAAUUAAAACCCUACUUUCUCCGUGUAAGCUCUUUCUUCUCUUCUUGUGUAUCUUGUGCACCGCCAUUGUUGACGAUGGCGAGUUCAUGUCGAAGCUCGCGAAGGCGCUAAGGCCGACAUCGUCGGGGUGGACUGGGAGCAGCUUCUGCGACUGGAAGGGCGUGAAGUGCAACGCCAACCGCAUCACCACAAUCAACAUCGCUUCGCAAUCACUCGGCGGAACGCUUCCUCCGGAUCUGAACUCACUCUCCAGAACAACGCGCUCUCCGGCGCAUUGCCUUCACUUGCCAACCUCUCCAUGCUCGAAAGCGUGUUCCUUAGCAGCAACAACUUCACCUCCGCCCCCGAUGGUUGCUUCCAGGGACUCACCAGCUUACAAACCCUCAGCAUGACCGAUAGGAUCAACCUCGCUCCAUGGACGAUUCCCGUCGAGUUGAAUGAUAACAACAACCUUGUCAAACUCGAACUUGGAAACGCAAACCUCAUCGGUACCUUGCCUGAUGUAUUCGACAAGUUCGUGAGUUUGCAGGAGCUUCGUCUCUCUUACAACAACCUCACCGGUGGCUUACCCAAAUCCUUCGCUAGAUCUGCGAUUCAGGAUAUGUGGCUCAACAAUCAGAACGGCUUCGGGUUUUCGGGUACCAUUGAGGUGUGGUGUUAAAUGUUAAUGAGUGAACAGAGAUCUGUUUCCUUUUAAAAAAAAAAAUUGAGAUCUGUUUUGGAAGAUGAAGAUUGAAGGAAGAAGAAGAAGUUUGGUGAAGAACUACUGGAUUUUAAAACAAAUAGUGGCCGUUUUGAGUGACUAUAAAUUAUCAAAUAUGUAAUGGACACAAAGUCUAAACAAAUUAUUUUAAAAUUUAUUAAAAAUCAAA